GAUCUACAAAAUGGAGGACAGGUGUGAGGACAAAGUCAUGAAACCGAAUGAGAGUCACAUUUGUGUCAGACUCUUCUGGAACGUUUGGAUGUCCGUGAUGAGGAUAGAGAUGCAACUGGGUCUGCAUCUAGGACCUACUGCCAGUCAUCCAGAUGUAGCU